CAAUAAUUACAGACUCUUCUCAUUGCCCUGCUUCCUGAGUCUUUGUAGCAUUGCUGGGUUGGUGAAGAGAACAUGAUCAGUGUCUUCAGGAUUUUAAACUACUGAAGCAAUUUGCUACUUCUAUUGAAGAAAAGCAAACCCCAACACCCUAACAGGAAUCACCAGGAUUCCUUAUGGCUUGGUGCACACGGGAGAGCUCAGUGUAGAGUGAGAAGUCUUAUUGAUACUGUCACUGAUGCUGCAUGAAACAGGCUCUUCGUAUGAAAUCCUGAGCCAUGUGGAAGACAGCUUUCAGAACUCUAACAAAAACUGGCAAGGGAACAAUUGGCUGUUGUAGUUUAGAGUUUUUCUCUCAGGUAGAGGAAACGUAUUUCCAGUAGAAAACAUGAGUUUGGCCAUGCCUGUGGUCCCAGGUGUCACCCAGGUAUCUCAUUUUGCCAGACUGCCCAAGAAGCCAUCAUUUAUUUGCACAUUACAGUGUGAAACUAAGGCACUUCUGUGAUCAGUACUUACCAAGUCUUAAUAAAAAGAACAAAAAGCUUACCUCCAACAUCUAUGAAGUGCUUUGCAGCUAAACCAGAACGUGGUGCUAGAAAAGAAUUUUUUUUAAGUAUUAUAAUUUAUUUCUUUAAAAAGACAGUAUUUAUAGGUUAUACAGUAUGUUUGCACAGUCUUGGGAAUGCUAAGUGUUUUCACAGUCUUUUUAAAAUAAACAUAUAACAGGAAUUACUGUAAGAGUUUACAGUAAAAUGUAUAUUAAACAGAGUAACAGUUGCAACA